AUUGAACGCUGGCGGCAUGCCUUACACAUGCAAGUCGAACGGCAGCACGGGUGAUUGCACCUGGUGGCGAGUGGCGAACGGGUGAGUAAUACAUCGGAACAUGUCCGGUAGUGGGGGAUAGCCCGGCGAAAGCCGGAUUAAUACCGCAUACGAUCUACGGAUGAAAGCGGGGGACCUUCGGGCCUCGCGCUAUAGGGUUGGCCGAUGGCUGAUUAGCUAGUUGGUGGGGUAAAGGCCUACCAAGGCGACGAUCAGUAGCUGGUCUGAGAGGACGACCAGCCACACUGGGACUGAGACACGGCCCAGACUCCUACGGGAGGCAGCAGUGGGGAAUUUUGGACAAUGGGCGAAAGCCUGAUCCAGCAAUGCCGCGUGUGUGAAGAAGGCCUUCGGGUUGUAAAGCACUUUUGUCCGGAAAGAAAUCCUUGGCCCUAAUACGGUCGGGGGAUGACGUUACCGGAAGAAUAAGCACCGGCUAACUACGUG
rnacentral:rRNA from 1 species